UAAAGAUAUCACGUGGAGAAUUUCCAUGAACGAGGGAGCUUAUGGGGUUUUAUGCAAAUGUGCGCAUGGAUGGCUGUUGGAAAAAUUGUACAAGGCAUUGUGAUUAUGGAAGCGGUGUAGUUGUUGACUGGCUGUUGAGGGUCGUAGUUGAUGAACAAUGGCUAUUAGCGCGUAGCUGAAAAGCAUUUGUGAACGGGCGAUACGUGAAAAAAUCUUGAUAAAGCGAGAGGAAUAGGCAAGGAUGAGCAGCUGCGCAUCGCAUCGUUUGGCUGAGGUUGCCGUCGGCCUGGCGAUCCUCCUCCUCCUGGCGCUACUCGUCGUACUCUGGACCGGAUCGAGUGCCACCUCGGGCGAGCGGACACGUAAUUUCGGUCACAACGCCUCCUCCAGCUUUCAGGACGACCAGGCGAUAUCGAGCAAGGAUUUACUGCGAAUGCAGGAGACUAGCGAAAAUGACA